ACCCGCUGAAUUUAAGCAUAUCAAUAAGCGGAGGAAAAGAAACUAACAAGGAUUCCCCCAGUAACGGCGAGCGAAGCGGGAAUAGCUCGAGCCUGUAAUCGCUGGCGGCUGCCGCCAGCGAAUUGUGGCCGGGAGAAGAUUGCUGUGUACCGCGCUUGGGCGUCCAAGUGGACCUGGAAGGGCACGUCAGAGAGGGUGAGAGCCCCGUUUGCGACCCUGCAGGCCGGUGCAAUCGCGAUCUUCAGAGAGUCGGGUUGUUUGGGAAUGCAGCCCAAAUCGGGUGGUAAACUCCACCUAAAGCUAAAUACUGGCACGAGACCGAUAGCGAACAAGUACCGUGAGGGAAAGGUGAAAAGCACUUUGAAAAGAGAGUCAAAGAGACCGCGAAACCGUUGGGAGGGAAACGAA
rnacentral:rRNA from 1 species